AUUGAACGCUGGCGGCAGGCCUAACACAUGCAAGUCGGACGAGUGGCGGACGGGUGAGUAAUGUAUGGGAAACUGCCUGAUGGCGGGGGAUAACUACUGGAAACGGUAGCUAAUACCGCAUACCAUCAGAUGAACCCAGAUGGGAUUAGCUGGUAGGUGGGGUAACGGCUUACCUAGGCGACGAUCCCUAGCUGGUCUGCGAGGAUGACCAGCCACCUGGGAACUGAGACACGGCCCAGACUCCUACGGGAGGCAGCAGUGGGGAAUAUGGCACAAUGGGCGCAAGCCUGAUGCAGCCAUGCCGCGUGUAUGAAGAAGGCCUUCGGGUUGUAAAGUACUUUCAGUGGGGAGGCGUUACCCACAGAAGAAGCACCGGCUAACUCCGUGCCAGCAGCCGCGGUAAUUC
rnacentral:rRNA from 1 species